rnacentral:misc_RNA from 1 species
AACUAACGCUAUUAUUGAUACAGUUUCUGUACUAUAUUGGUACGCGAAGCUUCCGGAGCCCGGCGCCCGCCGGUUUCUCGGAAAAUUUUGGGAAAAGGUCUUCGGACC